GACGAACGCUGGCGGCGUGCUUAACACAUGCAAGUCGAACGGAAAGGCCCUGCUUUUGUGGGGUGCUCGAGUGGCGAACGGGUGAGUAACACGUGAGUAACCUGCCCUUGACUUUGGGAUAACUUCAGGAAACUGGGGCUAAUACCGGAUAGGAGCUCCUGCUGCAUGGUGGGGGUUGGAAAGUUUCGGCGUUUGGGGAUGGACUCGCGGCUUAGCAGCUUGUUGGUUGGGUAGUGGCUUACCAAGGCUUUGCCGGGUAGCCGGCCUGGGAGGGUGACCGGCCACAUUGGGACUGAGAUACGGCCCAGACUCCUACGGGAGGCAGCAGUGGGGAAUAUUGCACAAUGGGCGGAAGCCUGAUGCAGCAACGCCGCGUGCGGGAUGACGGCCUUCGGGUUGUAAACCGCUUUCGCCUGUGACGAAGCGUGAGUGACGGUAAUGGGUAAAGAAGCACCGGCUAACUACGUG
rnacentral:rRNA from 1 species